CAAAACAUCGCCUCUUGCUAAUCAACAUGUAUAAGAGGUCCUGCCUGCCCAGUGACUAUAUGUUCAACGGCCGCGGUAUUCUGACCGUGCAAAGGUAGCGUAAUCACUUGUCUUUUAAAUAAAGACUGGUAUGAACGGCACCACGAAGGUUCAACUGUCUCCUGCAUCCAAUCCAUAAAACUGACCUCCCCGUGCAGAGGCGGGGAUAUUUUCAUAAGACGAGAAGACCCUAUGGAGCUUUAAACUAAAGGCAACUGCCAACUUCACCUCUCACCCAUAAGGAAAAAACAUAAAACAAGCAGCAAUUGACCUAAAGUUUUCGGUUGGGGCGACCACGGAGAACAAAUAAUCCUCCUUGAAGAACAGGGGUUCCCACCCUUAGCUAAGAACUACUAUUCUAAGCAACAAAAUUUAUGACUAUAAUUGAUCCAGUCUUACUGAUCAACGAACCAAGUUACCCUAGGGAUAACAGCGCAAUCCAUUUCAAAAGUUCCUAUCGACAAAUGGGUUUACGACCUCGAUGUUGGAUCAGGGCAUCCCAGUGGUGCAGCCGCUACUAAAGGUUCGUUUGUUCAACGAUUAAAGCCCUAC
rnacentral:rRNA from 1 species